AACGAACGCUGGCGGCAUGCCUAACACAUGCAAGUCGAACGCGUGUAGCAAUACACGAGUGGCGGACGGGUGAGUAACGCGUGGGAACCUGCCCAAUGGUAGGGAAUAACUGCGGGAAACUGCAGCUAAUACCCUAUGCUCCCUACGGGGGAAAGGUUUAUCGCCAUUGGAGGGGCCCGCGUCGGAUUAGCUAGUUAGCGGGGUAACGGCCCACCAAGGCUACGAUCCGUAGCUGGUCUGAGAGGAUGAUCAGCCACACUGGGACUGAGAUACGGCCCAGACUCCUACGGGAGGCAGCAGUGGGGAAUAUUGGACAAUGGGGGAAACCCUGAUCCAGCAAUGCCGCGUGAGUGAAGAAGGCCUUAGGGUUGUAAAGCUCUUUC
rnacentral:rRNA from 1 species